rnacentral:rRNA from 1 species
UCAGGACGAACGCUGGCGGCAUGCCUAACACAUGCAAGUCGAACGGAGUAAUGACUUCGGUUAUUACUUAGUGGCGAACGGGUGAGUAACACGUGAAUAAUCUGCCCUGUACGAUGGGAUAACAGCUGGAAACGGCUGCUAAUACCGUAUAUGACCACGCCGAGGCAUCUCGGAGGGGUGAAAGCGCUUAAGCGGUACAGGAUGAGUUCGCGUCCAAUUAGCUAGUUGGUGAGGUAACGGCCCACCAAGGCGACGAUUGGUAGCCGACCUGAGAGGGUGAUCGGCCACACUGGAACUGAGACACGGUCCAGACUCCUACGGGAGGCAGCAGUGGGGAAUAUUGGGCAAUGGAGGAAACUCUUACCCAAGCAAUGCCGCGUGAGUGAUGAAGGUCUUCGGAUUGUAAAGCUCUUUGAUUGGGGACGAAUAAAUGACGGUACCCAAGGAACAAGCCCCGGCUAACUAUGUGCCAGCCGCCGC